rnacentral:rRNA from 1 species
GACGAACGCUGGCGGCGUGCUUAACACAUGCAAGUCGAACGGAAAGGCCCUGCUUUUGUGGGGUGCUCGAGUGGCGAACGGGUGAGUAACACGUGAGUAACCUGCCCUUGACUUUGGGAUAACUUCAGGAAACUGGGGCUAAUACCGGAUAGGAGCUCCUGCUGCAUGGUGGGGGUUGGAAAGUUUCGGCGGUUGGGGAUGGACUCGCGGCUUAUCAGCUUGUUGGUGGGGUAGUGGCUUACCAAGGCUUUGACGGGUAGCCGGCCUGAGAGGGUGACCGGCCACAUUGGGACUGAGAUACGGACCAGAGUCCUACGGGAGGCAGCAGUGGGGAAUAUUGCACAAUGGGAGGAAGCCUGAUGCAGCAACGCCGCGUGCGGGAUGACGGCCUUCGGGUUGUAAACCGCUUUCGCCUGUGACGAAGCGUGAGUGACGGUAAUGGGUAAAGAAGCACCGGCUAACUACGUG